UCUUCUUUACCCGUGCCCUAAGCCUUCCCCGCCCGUCGACUUCUCCCGAUUCUUUCUUCUUUCCCAUCUCGCCAACAUCCUCUUCUCCUCUCUCAAUCUAGCCAUCAUUCCAGCCGCCGACCUCUCCUCUUCCUCUUCGUCGCCGAGAUCUCAUCGCCACCUCUUCCUCUUCUCCACCGAUCUCUCUUCAUCGCCGACGCAAAGCCACCAUAGCCAACUGCUAGGGACCAUCAUCUGUUGUUGUGGGUCGACACCGGAGCAUUAGUGACGUCGUUUUCCCCCUCCUAGCCGUGCCCUAGCUCCCAUCACGGAUGUCGACUCCAGAUCCACCGAUGCUGACCCCCGAUCCACUGUCGAUCGAGGGUUGAUGCUUUCCUCCUUCCUCCGCAUCUCACUUUGUUACAUCUGAGCCACCUCACACAGGGCUGAUCUUUGGCUAAGAGCGAGGAGGCAUUGCUGCCCCUCCUGAUCGGCUUCCAACGUGAGUAGACGUGAUCACCAGCCACCCUAUUCACGAUGUCGCAUGUUCUGCUAUCUUCGUGAGGUGCUGCUGAAGAAGACGAUGCGAGAUUGCCUCCAUAUUCUCAUAACUGUGUGCACAGACCACCGCACACCCUCACACUCCUGAGCUCCUCUGCUGAUCACCGGUGCUGCCUUGCAGCCUCACCUGAGCACUUUCUUCGACUAAGAGUCAACAAGGCAUCUCUGGAUUGAGGAGGGACAAUGAUUUCAUCUUUACAGACAAAGAGUUAUUCCAGCUAUAAGCCAUCGGCUAAGCCAUCAAUUCGGGAGACAUUAUAUAUCUGGUCUGACGACCCUUACAUCUGGAUAGGAGGUCCUGGUAGUAGGUAGAUUAUUUUGGAGUCGCUUGGAGUAUCCUUUCUGUCGAUUCCCACAUUACAUCCGAAGACCUGUUUCUGGUUUUCAUUUGUACUUUAUUUGGUCUAUGUUUUUGGUUUACUUAGCAAUGUAAAUUUAGGUUUUGGUUUCAGAGUGUUGUGAUGUGGUGUUUUGUAUUGUUUAUUGUGUGUGGAAAGCCUAGCCAACUAGCAGUCUUAUUUUUUUUGGUUUGUAAUGGUUUCUUUCAUUUUCUGCUGUGUUUCUGGUUUUUGUACAACCGAGUGGGUUGUUUAAUAUAUAUAUAUGUAUAACUGUGUGGUUGUGAAUAUUUUUUCCAA